UACGGGGGGAGCAAGCGUUGUUCGGAUUUACUGGGCGUAAAGGGCGCGUAGGCGGUCAGCACAAGUCAGUUGUGAAAUCUCCGAGCUUAACUCGGAAAGGUCAACUGAUACUGUGCGACUAGAGUGCGGAAGGGGCAACUGGAAUUCUUGGUGUAGCGGUGAAAUGCGUAGAUAUCAGGAGGAACACCGGUGUGUAGACGGCUUUCUGGACCGUAACUGACGCUGAGACACGAAAGCGUGGGUAGCAAACAGG
rnacentral:rRNA from 1 species